rnacentral:rRNA from 1 species
UGGGGAAUAUUGCACAAUGGGCGCAAGCCUGAUGCAGCCAUGCCGCGUGUAUGAAGAAGGCCUUCGGGUUGUAAAGUACUUUCAGUCGGGAGGAAGGUGGUAAGGUUAAUAACCUUAUCAAUUGACGUUACCGACAGAAGAAGCACCGGCUAACUCCGUGCCAGCAGCCGCGGUAAUACGGAGGGUGCAAGCGUUAAUCGGAAUUACUGGGCGUAAAGCGCACGCAGGCGGUUUGUUAAGUCAGAUGUGAAAUCCCCGGGCUCAACCUGGGAACUGCAUCUGAUACUGGCAAGCUUGAGUCUCGUAGAGGGGGGUAGAAUUCCAGGUGUAGCGGUGAAAUGCGUAGAGAUCUGGAGGAAUACCGGUGGCGAAGGCGGCCCCCUGGACGAAGACUGACGCUCAAGUGCGAAAGCGUGGGGAGCAAACAGG